UACGAAGGGGGCGAGCGUUGUUCGGAAUUACUGGGCGUAAAGGGCGCGUAGGCGGCCGAUCAAGUCAGAUGUGAAAGUCCUGGGCUUAACCUGGGGACUGCAUUUGAUACUGAUUGGCUUGAAUUCGGGAGAGGAUAGCGGAAUUCCCAGUGUAGAGGUGAAAUUCGUAGAUAUUGGGAAGAACACCGAUGGCGAAGGCAGCCAUCUGGACCGACACUGACGCUGAGGCGCGAAAGCGUGGGGAGCAAACAGG
rnacentral:rRNA from 1 species